AUCAAAUGAGAAUACCGGCUGAACUUAAGCAUAUCACUAAGCCGAGGAAAAGAAACUAACAAGGAUACCCUAAGUAACGGCGAGUGAACCGGGUAAUGCUCAAUCUUAAAAUCUGUGUCUCAAAUGAGGCAUCGAAUUGUAGUUUUUUGAUAAUCAUUCCCUCUUCUUUUAAUAUAAUUAAAGUCUCUUGGAAUAGAGUGUCAUAGAAGGUGAGAACCCUGUGAAUAGUUAUAUUAAGGGGAGGAUAUUGAGUUUGAUUAUCAUAGAGUCGGGUUGUUUGGGAAUGCAGCCUAAAAAGGGUGGUAAAUCUCAUCUAAAGCUAAAUAUUUGGUAAGAGACCGAUAGAAAACAGUACCGUGAGGGAAAGAUGAAAAGAACUUUGAAAAGAGAGUUAAAAGUACUUGAAAUUGUAACUGGACGCUUAAAUUCUAAUC
rnacentral:rRNA from 1 species